rnacentral:rRNA from 1 species
UCCGUAGGUGAACCUGCGGAAGGAUCAUUAAAAAAAGAGAAACGUCCCGUUUUUUUUCAUAAGAAUGGGUUCUAUUCCCUUAAACCGUGUCUACAUACCUUUGUUGCUUUGGCAGGCCGCCUUCGGGCGUCGGCUCCGGCUGAUAGUGCCUGCCAGAGGACCCAAACUCUAUGUUUAGUGAUGUCUGAGUACUAUAUAAUAUUUAAAACUUUCAACAACGGAUCUCUUGGUUCUGGCAUCGAUGAAGAACGCAGCGAAAUGCGAUAAGUAAUGUGAAUUGCAGAAUUCAGUGAAUCAUCGAAUCUUUGAACGCACAUUGCGCCCCUUGGUAUUCCGAGGGGCAUGCCUGUUCGAGCGUCAUUAUAACCACUCAAGCCUGGCUUGGUAUUGGGGUUUUCGCGUGUUCGCGGCCCUUAAAAUCAGUGGCGGUGCCGUCUGGCUCUAAGCGUAGUAAUUUCUCUCGCUAUAGGGUUCCGGUGGUUACUUGCCAAAACCCCCCAUUUUUUCUAGGUUGACCUCGGAUCAGGUAGGGAUACCCGCUGAACUUAA